UCCCUGGUGGCUCAGAUGGUAAAGAAUCUGCCUGUGAUGCAGGAGACCCAGGUUUGAUCCCUGGGUUGGGAA
rnacentral:tRNA from 1 species